UGCUCUCUCUCUCACCUCUCUUGGCCAUUCUUCCAUAUGAUGAUGCCUUCAGCCAUGUUAAGACGCGGCAAAAAGGCCCUCACCAGAUUCUGGCACGUGGAUAUUGUACUUGCCAGCCUCCAGAAAUUGAAAAAUUUGGAAGUUGUCUGAACAAUGAGAAAUAGUUGGAAAUAUUCUGAAGAAGGAAAUAUAUUCUUGGAAAAGAAAAUAUUGGAAAUAGAGACAUCCCUGGAAAAAAAGCCACUCUUGGAACCCAGCCAGCCACUCUGCUGUCAGCAAGUCCACACUAGCCAUGUAGAAAAAUAAUACGGAAAGCUCCACAUGGAGAGAAACUAACUCCCCCAUUCAAUAGCUAGUCAAAACAACCAAGGAUAAGCAAUCCUUCAGAUGAUUCCAGCUUCUAGCUAUUGGGUCUUCCAACUGAGGCCCCAGAUACUGUGGAA